UUUUUGUAUUUUGUUAGUGUCGCACUGGUUCCCACUGGACGUCCAUGACACCCACAUGUUUUGUUCAGGAAGAUAAUCUCCAGGAGUGAACACCACCUCAUUAAAUGUGACCGCCAGAGUGAGUUACAGACAUUCGCUUGUCGUCCUGGUGCACCCCAAAAAAGACCAAAAUCAGGACGAAGGCCUUGAUCUCAUCUGCUCUCUCAUCUAAACUCUAAAGCGAGCGCGGGCGAGAAGCGGCUUCGUCUGAAAGCGCCUCUCCUCUCCGUUUGAAGUCUUUAUCUGAAGACGUCACGCUGAGCUUUGAAGUCUUCCCUCCCG